rnacentral:rRNA from 1 species
UACGUAGGGGGCUAGCGUUGUCCGGAUUUAUUGGGCGUAAAGAGCUCGUAGGCGGCUCGGUAAGUCGGAUGUGAAACCUCCAGGCUCAACCUGGAGACGCCAUCUGAUACUGCCGUGGCUUGAGUCCGGUAGAGGAGCAGGGAAUUCCUGGUGUAGCGGUGAAAUGCGCAGAUAUCAGGAGGAACACCAGCGGCGAAGGCGCUGCUCUGGGCCGGUACUGACGCUGAGGAGCGAAAGCGUGGGGAGCGAACAGG